UAAAAAAAAAAGGAGUUCUGCUAUAGAAGGGAGGAGCUCUCUUGUUCUUCUUGCAUAGAAGCAGUCUCUGCAGCUUGGAACUUACCCCAUUUAGAAUGGAACCUAGGGAAGCUCCCUCCCUGCUUGGUUCUGCACAUGGAAGGAAAACGUGAUGUCUGCUGUCUGGCAUGCUUGUCAGGAGGAAAAGUGGCUGCUUAGCUUACAAACCUGCAGAAGGUUUCACCAUGGUCUUAUCCUCACCUCUGCUCUUAAUCCUUACCUCUCAGUGCAGAGCAAGCAGCCAAAGGUGACAGCAGCGCUCGGCUUUGCUUUAUGGCUCUCACACCUACACAAGAAGCACAACAUAGCAUAACUGACAAGCAAGAAAUAGAGAAGCAAAUGCCUUGACUUAUACAGAGCAGGGCUGGGAAAUCAGUCUGAUGGAAAACAAAAAGAGAAUACCUCUUGCUGUAAUAAAAC